rnacentral:rRNA from 1 species
GACAGAGGAUGCAAGCGUUAUCCGGAUUUAUUGGGCGUAAAGAGCGUGUAGGCGGCCAGGUAGGUCUGCUGUGAAAACUCGAGGCUCAACCUCGAGAUGUCGGCGGAAACCAUCUGGCUAGAGUCCGGAGGAGGAGAAUGGAAUUCCCGGUGUAGCGGUGAAAUGCGCAGAUAUCGGGAAGAACACCCGUGGCGAAGGCGGUUCUCUGGGACGGUACUGACGCUGAGACGCGAAAGCGUGGGGAGCGAACAGG